rnacentral:rRNA from 1 species
GAUGAACGCUGGCGGCGUGCCUAAUACAUGCAAGUCGAGCGAACGGACGAGAAGCUUGCUUCUCUGAUGUUAGCGGCGGACGGGUGAGUAACACGUGGAUAACCUACCUAUAAGACUGGGAUAACUUCGGGAAACCGGAGCUAAUACCGGAUAAUAUUUUGAACCGCAUGGUUCAAAAGUGAAAGACGGUCUUGCUGUCACUUAUAGAUGUAUCCGCGCUGCAUUAGCUAGUUGGUAAGGUAACGGCUUACCAAGGCAACGAUGCAUAGCCGACCUGAGAGGGUGAUCGGCCACACGGGAACUGAGACACGGUCCAGACUCCUACGGGAGGCAGCAGUAGGGAAUCUUCCGCAAUGGGCGAAAGCCUGACGGAGCAACGCCGCGUGAGUGAUGAAGGUCUUCGGAUCGUAAAACUCUGUUAUUAGGGAAGAACAUAUGUGUAAGUAACUGUGCACAUCUUGACGGUACCUAAUCAGAAAGCCACGGCUAACUACGUG